rnacentral:rRNA from 1 species
CCUACGUGCGGCUGCAGUGAGGAAUAUUGGUCAAUGGACGAGAGUCUGAACCAGCCAAGUAGCGUGAAGGAUGACUGCCCUAUGGGUUGUAAACUUCUUUUAUAAAGGAAUAAAACGAGGCACGUGUGCCUUUUUGCAUGUACUUUAUGAAUAAGGAUCGGCUAACCCCGUGCCAGCAGCCGCGGUAAUACGGAGGAUCCGAGCGUUAUCCGGAUUUAUUGGGUUUAAAGGGAGCGUAGAUGGGUUGUUAAGUCAGUUGUGAAAGUUUGCGGCUCAACCGUAAAAUUGCAAUUGAUACUGGCAGUCUUUAGGACAGUUGAGGUAGGCGGAAUUCGUGGUGUAGCGGUGAAAUGCUUAGAUAUCACGAAGAACCCCGAUUGCGAAGGCAGCCUACUAAACUGUGACUGACAUUGAUGCUCGAAAGUGUGGGUAUCAAACAGGAUUAGAUACCCGAGUAGUC